UUUAAGGUGUCGACGCUGGAGGCGGCGACGUCCGGCCAAGCCGGUAACGAGGUGAUGAGCCCCGAGGUGCAGGCGGAAACGGAGCAGAUUGAAGCCAAGGUGCG
rnacentral:SRP_RNA from 21 species